UACGUAGGGUGCAAGCGUUAAUCGGAAUUACUGGGCGUAAAGCGUGCGCAGGCGGCUAUGCAAGACAGAUGUGAAAUCCCCGGGCUCAACCUGGGAACUGCAUUUGUGACUGCAUGGCUAGAGUGCGGCAGAGGGGGAUGGAAUUCCGCGUGUAGGCAGUGAAAUGCGUAGAUAUGCGGAGGAACACCGAUGGCGAAGGCAAUCCCCUGGGCCUGCACUGACGCUCAUGCACGAAAGCGUGGGGAGCAAACAGG
rnacentral:rRNA from 1 species